rnacentral:rRNA from 1 species
AAUCAACGCUGGCGGCGUGCCUAACACAUGCAAGUCGAACGAGAAAGUGGAGCAAUCCAUGAGUAAAGUGGCGCACGGGUGAGUAACACGUGACUAACCUACCCUUGAGUGGGGGAUAACCUAGGGAAACCUGGGCUAAUACCGCAUAAUACCUACGGGUCAAAGGAGCAAUUCGCUUUAGGAGGGGGUCGCGGCAGAUUAGUUAGUUGGCGGGGUAAUGGCCCACCAAGACGAUGAUCNGUAUCCGGCCUGAGAGGGCGCACGGACACACUGGAACUGAAACACGGUCCAGACUCCUACGGGAGGCAGCAGUGGGGAAUUUUGCGCAAUGGGGGAAACCCUGACGCAGCAACGCCGCGUGGAGGAUGAAGACCCUUGGGUCGUUAAACUCC